GCCACACCCACGGCCUAGGGAGGUUCCCAGGCUAGGGGUUCGAAUCGGAGCUACGGCUGCCGGUCUACACCACAGCCACGGCCACACCAGAUCCUUCAAGCUCCGUCUGCGACCUACACCACUGCUCAAGGCAAUGCCAGAUCCUUAACCCACUGAGCGAGGCCAGGGACCGAACCUGUGUCCUCACAGUUACAAAUCAGAUUUUUUUUUAACUGAGCCACGACGGGAACUGCAUUUUCUGUGUUACUUCCCACGACAGUUCCUGAGGGAAAUGAGCUUUUCUGGGUGGCUUUUUUUUUUUUUUUUUAAUACAGGGUGGGUUUUUUUUUUUCACUUUAAUUAAUUAAUUAAUUUAGGCCGCACCCACAGCAUGUGGAAGUUCUUGGGCCAGGGAUCGAACCCGCACUGCAGCAGCGACUCCAACCACAGCAGGGACAACCCCGGAUCCUUACCCUGCUGUGCCACUUUUAUCAAGUCCCCUCACCUCCUUGGAGGGGCCCAGUCUCAUUCACAGGGUGGGAGACACAGCAUCGGCUCAGGGUGAAGCGAUAUUUAAAAAACCCAGGGAGUCCCAUUUCAGACACUCCUUGUGCGAUUAUUUUAAAAAGUCACACCGGGCAAAAUCAGAAUUCGAACAAAGGUGCCCAAUUCCCAAGCUCCAGUGUGGAGAAGAAUGAAUCCCUCUUCCUCCCCCCCAGCCAGGGGGCCGGCAGGUAAGGCCACUGUCAGCCGAUGGAGAACCUUCUAAAGUUAUGAAGCCCUGGAUCUGGGUCCCUGAAAACGUGGCACGUAGAAGAAUUCCAACUUUGGACAUCAUGCUUUGUUCCGUACGAAGUUUUAGGAGUAUGACGCCCGGUCAAACGUUUCCAGUUCUGCCAUCAGCCUUGGUUUGGUUUAAUGGCAUUUUCCGCAGGAAAGAACUAGGUGGACGCUGAAGGAAAUUCAUCAUAUUUGACUUAGGUUUGAAAAAUGCCCCCCAGCCCGGGCACUUCCAUCUGCCACAAGUGGCGCCCUAACAAAGCAAAGCAAGAAAGAAAACGAAAAAUGUAUGUUCAGUGGAUGUGACUGCAUGUUUGAAGCACGCAGCCCUCUGCUAGAGCGACCUCAACAGCAAAUGAAAGAAAAUGAGAUGAGGAGGCGGAGACAUCAAGAGAGAAUCAGAGAGUCGCUUCACCAGAAAUAACACCUCCAAAAAGGGCGUCUCAUGUUCUUACCACGAAGUCACGCAGGCAGAAACCUCGCUCUAGCUCUGCUGGUCAGUUACCAUGAAGGGCAGGCGUCUGCCUUCAGAAGCUGCCAACACCCUGAGCCCACAGGCAGCAAUAAAACCGCAGAGGCUCACACCCACCCCGAAGGCCCUCUGCCAGCACCGGUGCCCUGAGGGUCCCGGCGGUAGCUCUCUGGGGUCUCAUCCAGCUUGUUAGGUGCAGCAGGUCUUGUUUAAAGGGCAUGCUUAGCGCAGCAGAACAACCCGUGCGUGUCCUAACGCUGAUGAGGUGUGCACGGCUACCUCUACGUCACCCCAUUAGCAGCGCCCCAAGUGACUAGACAUGAAGGUUUUUCAAAAUUAUGGUAUGUAGGAGUUCCCGUCGUGGCGCAGUGGUUAACGCAUCUGACUAGGAACCAUGAGGUUGCGGGUUCCAUCCCUGGCCUCGCUCAGUGGGUUAAGGAUCCGGCGUUGCCGUGAGCUGUGGUGUGGGUCGCAGAUACCCCUGAGGGCCCGAUUCCCAGCCUCACUGCUGAGCAUGGCUCCCUCACGAUCUCAGAGUCUGAUUAUACUCGAAAACUUCAAGGGAGAUGGCAGUGCCCAGGGCUGGGAAGGCUGGGGCGGGGGAGGGGGGACGGUGGCGGAGGUGGUUCACGCAUGACCUGUGUAGUCCUGGGCAGCGGAUGCUCGGAAUGACACAUGGACAUCAACCCCCAAGUCUCAGAACAAGACGGAACCACCACGAGAUCCCCAGGCCGCCAGGACCUCCACAGCCCCCAUCAUGGAACCAUCAGAGCCUCCCCGCCCCCAGCAGACGUGCCAGACAAGCCCUCUUCCGAGCGCUUUGCAAGACCUGAAUCACUGCAUCGUCACAACCCCCUGUGACUGCAGUUCCCAACUAUACUGCACCCGGGAAACCCCAACACCCAGGCCACACCCCCCACUAAUCAUGAUACCUGGGGGUGGGGGCAGGCACUGAUCUUUCUUAAAGACCCUCAGGCAAUCCCAAUGCCCAGCCAAGCCUGGAACACUCAGCUAAGACAUGGUGCCAUGACCGUCCACAUUUUUCAGAUAAGACAACAGAGGCAGAGAGGUCAAUGCCUCCCCAAGGUCACGCGGCUGGCAAGCAGCAGAGCUGGGACCCGAACCCAGUGGGAUGACCGCCAAACACUAAGAAAUCACAUCCAGGAAAGGUACCGUAGAAAGAGCAUAAAUCACUAGCAUGGGAUGAAGUGAAGCAGGUGGGGAGAGCAACUGCGAGGGUGCAGGCGGUGACCUUCAAGAAAGGUGGGUGGCUGGCCGCCGGAGGCAGAUCGGACACCUGCAAGCAGGCAGGACCAGGCCACGCUUCCGAGAAGGGCGACCAUGCAGGCGGGGACCUCUGGAAAGCAUCUGUUCUAGAGCAGUGGUUCCCAAGCUGAAAAUCAGCUGGCAGGACUGUGAAAAGAGACAGCUGCCCCCACCCCCAGAAUCUCUUGUUCACCAGGUCCCCGGCGGAGCCCUAGAAUCUGCAUCCCCAGAUAGCGCUGCUGUAGAAGCAGUGCUCUGAGCACAUGGGAGCAGUCAGCAAUGAUGGGCUGGGGACUGUGGACACACAGCACUGUCCCAGCGUCCCUCCUUGACGGGGUGGGGUCUGCCUGUUCCUCUGCUUAUUCUGUCCCCGGAGGCUGGAAUCCCUCCCUCUGUCAGCUCCUUCCCCAAUUCCGGCACUCCUCUUACCAUUCAGCCCAGGCUGUGGUCAGCUCCUCCUCCAGGAAGCCCUCCUGGAUCCUCGGCCUCCUGAGGCACAGGAUGGGGCCUUCCUUGUGUUCAGGAAGGCUGACAUCGGACCACAACCGGGUAUGAGCAACACAGAGCAGCCUGGUCCACUUGGGGCUUUGCCUCCGCUCCUGGUUCGAAAGCGCCCCCUUCCUCCAUUGUUCUAUCCUCCAUUCAGCCAGCAGGAACCAUCUAGUUUGUAAAUGGUUCCAGGAAUGCUGCCGGGGAGGUUGUUCAGAGCUACAGAGGACACAGGCGUGGGAAGAUGCAUGCGGAUCUCCAGUGCCAGGCAGCCCUGUGUUCAAAUCCCAGCCUGGACUUUUAGGACAGGGCUUUGGCCACGAACCUCCCUUCCUUCCUUCACCUGUGAAACGGCAGCGAGCAGUAAACCUAACCUGCUCCAGUUACAAAGAUCCUCAGCUGAAGCACAGAACAGCCAGCCAGUGUCUCAGUUCUCCCAAGGCCGUAUGUAAGCACCCAUCUCAUUCUGAAGCAUCCGAGAGAAGCUAAUUACCUGCAACAUACACCUUAGGGCACUGGGGUUGAAGUCUGCCAAAGACGGCUGAUAGGGAAUGCAUUGAGCAACCUCGGGGUGAGCAGUACCCUCCAGGCACCCCGAGGGCUCCUGGAAAAAGAGAUCAAACAGCAGGGAGCAGAGCUGGGGCAGAGCUGGGCGUCAGAUGCCAAGAGGAGAAGGAGGCGGGCACAGGAACACGAGACAGCGACUAGCUGGCCAGGCUCCCCCUUCGCCCGUGUCUUAUCUGAGAUGCGGAGAUGAAGGAAGUCACGUGAGCCUUUAUACUAAUGCAUUUCUCUCUGCAAACGGAAAAUGCAAUUAAACAUUCCACUUACUGAGGUUCACAUUGCCAUGUACUGGAUAAUGAGCCUCCAGAAAGCAAUGUACGUUUGGUGUUCCUUCCUGAUGUCCUGGAAAACAAAACGCUUUCUUUCCAGAACACCGGAAUUUAGACUUCGGGCAUUUUAUGAUCCCAUUUAUGUCAUGACAUAUCUCCAAAGCAAACCUUUUCACAGGUUUAGCUUGCAGACAGACAGAAAAAAACAAAAACAAAAAAACCAAAAAAAAAAACCAAACAAACCACCCAUUGACACUUUCCAUCCUAAAAGAAUCCUCCUACUGCCUCUCAGCUCAGGAAAGGGUAGGUCCACUGCUCUCCACAACAAGCCGAAAGGUCCAUCCACCAAGCUGUAGGACCAGGCAUGGAGCAUCCUGGACCAGAGGUGGGCCGGUUGGGGAUCUGAGGCCAGCUUGAAUGUCCUGCUGCUUCCCUGGGACAUGCCAUUUUAUUUCUCUGGGCCAGUUGCCUUGUCGGUGGACUAUAUAAGGUCCCUUCCAGCCAUCAAAGUAUAAAACUCUACCAACACCCUACUUCAGUCAGCAUCUGCAAAAGGAACAAAUGCUUGCCUCCAACUUUCAGGAAGGUGAUAUUUGAACAAGGCUUUAAAUUAUGUUACGAAACAGAAAUAAACAAGACUCAUGACAUCAGGGGCCAUCAAGGACAGUGAAGGUCUGGCCGUCUAAAGUGAAACUGACCUCUCAGCGCAGGGGGAGAGCUGGCUGGCGACAGACUUUGCGGGACACUUC
rnacentral:lncRNA from 1 species